AUGAACGCUAGCGACAGGCUUAACACAUGCAAGUCGAGGGGCAGCGGGGGUAGCAAUACCCGCCGGCGACCGGCGCACGGGUGAGUAACGCGUAUGCAACUUACCUAUCAGAGGGGGAUAACCCGGCGAAAGUCGGACUAAUACCGCAUGAAGCAGGGGCCCCGCAUGGGGAUAUUUGCUAAAGAUUCAUCGCUGAUAGAUAGGCAUGCGUUCCAUUAGGCAGUUGGCGGGGUAACGGCCCACCAAACCGACGAUGGAUAGGGGUUCUGAGAGGAAGGUCCCCCACAUUGGUACUGAGACACGGACCAAACUCCUACGGGAGGCAGCAGUGAGGAAUAUUGGUCAAUGGGCGCGAGCCUGAACCAGCCAAGUCGCGUGAGGGAUGAAGGUUCUAUGGAUCGUAAACCUCUUUUAUAAGGGAAUAAAGUGCGGGACGUGUCCCGUUUUGUAUGUACCUUAUGAAUAAGGAUCGGCUAACUCCGUGCCAGCAGCCGCGGUAAUACGGAGGAUCCGAGCGUUAUCCGGAUUUAUUGGGUUUAAAGGGUGCGUAGGCGGCCUUUUAAGUCAGCGGUGAAAGUCUGUGGCUCAACCAUAGAAUUGCCGUUGAAACUGGGGGGCUUGAGUAUGUUUGAGGCAGGCGGAAUGCGUGGUGUAGCGGUGAAAUGCUUAGAUAUCACGCAGAACCCCGAUUGCGAAGGCAGCCUGCCAAGCCAUGACUGACGCUGAUGCACGAGAGCGUGGGGAUCAAACAGGAUUAGAUACCCUGGUAGUCCACGCAGUAAACGAUGAUCACUAGCUGUUUGCGAUACAGUGUAAGCGGCACAGCGAAAGCGUUAAGUGAUCCACCUGGGGAGUACGCCGGCAACGGUGAAACUCAAAGGAAUUGACGGGGGCCCGCACAAGCGGAGGAACAUGUGGUUUAAUUCGAUGAUACGCGAGGAACCUUACCCGGGUUUGAACGCAUUCGGACCGAGGUGGAAACACCUUUUCUAGCAAUAGCCGUUUGCGAGGUGCUGCAUGGUUGUCGUCAGCUCGUGCCGUGAGGUGUCGGCUUAAGUGCCAUAACGAGCGCAACCCUUGCCACUAGUUACUAACAGGUAAAGCUGAGGACUCUGGUGGGACUGCCAGCGUAAGCUGCGAGGAAGGCGGGGAUGACGUCAAAUCAGCACGGCCCUUACAUCCGGGGCGACACACGUGUUACAAUGGCGUGGACAAAGGGAAGCCACCUGGCGACAGGGAGCGAAUCCCCAAACCACGUCUCAGUUCGGAUCGGAGUCUGCAACCCGACUCCGUGAAGCUGGAUUCGCUAGUAAUCGCGCAUCAGCCAUGGCGCGGUGAAUACGUUCCCGGGCCUUGUACACACCGCCCGUCAAGCCAUGGGAGCCGGGGGUACCUGAAGUCCGUAACCGAAAGGAUCGGCCUAGGGUAAAACUGGUGACUGGGGCU
rnacentral:rRNA from 1 species